rnacentral:rRNA from 1 species
UCGUACGAGAGUUUUUAACUCAAGUGGCGGACGGGUGAGUAACACGUGAGAAUUUGCCUUUAGGAGAAGGACAACAAUUAGAAAUGAUUGCUAAAACUUCAUAUGCUUUCGAGUGAAAUAGAUUUAUCUGCCUGAAGAGAAGCUCGCGGCUGAUUAGCUUGUUGGUAAGGUAAUGGCUUACCAAGGCGACGAUCAGUAUCUGGUUUGAGAGGACGAUCAGACACACUGGAACUGAGACACGGUCCAGACUCCUACGGGAGGCAGCAGUGGGGAAUUUUCCGCAAUGGGCGAAAGCCUGACGGAGCAAUACCGCGUGAGGGAAGAAGGCCUAUGGGUUGUAAACCUCUUUUUUCAGGGAGGAAUCAAUGACGUGUACCUGAAGAAUAAGCAUCGGCUAACUCCGUGCCAGCAGCCGCGGUAAGACGGAGGAUGCAAGUGUUAUCCGGAAUCACUGGGCGUAAAGCGUCUGUAGGUGGUUUAGUAAGUCGACUGUUAAAUCUUGAAGCUUAACUUCAAAACUGCAUUCGAAACUAUUAGACUUGAGUAUAGUAAGGGUAAAGGGAAUUUCCAGUGGAGCGGUGAAAUGCGUAGAUAUUGGAAAGAACACCAAUGGCGAAGGCACUUUACUGGGCUAUUACUGACACUCAGAGACGAAAGCUAGGGUAGCAAAUGGGAUUAGAUACCCCAGUAGUCCUAGCUGUAAACAAUGGAUACUAGAUGUUGAACAGAUCGACCUGUGCAGUAUUAAAGCUAACGCGUUAAGUAUCCCGC